GACGAACGCUGGCGGCGUGCCUAAUACAUGCAAGUAGAACGCAGUUGCGAACGGUUGAGUAACGCGUAGGUAACUGCCUCAUAGCGGGGAAUAACUAUUGGAAAAGAUAGCUAAUACCGCAUACUGUGAGAUGGACCUGCGUUGUAUUAGCUAGUUGGUGAGGUAAAGGCUCACCAAGGCGACGAUACAUAGCCGACCUGAGAGGGUGAUCGGCCACAAUGGGUACGAUGAACGGCCCAGAACCCCUCCGGAGGCCGCAGUAGGGAGUCUUAGGGAAUGGACGGAAGUCUGACCGAGCAACGCCGCCUGAGUGAAAAAGGUUUUCGGAUUGUAAAUCUGUGUUGUUAGGGAAGCGGUACCAAACCAGAAAGGGACGGCUAACUACGUGCCAGCAGCCGCGGUAAUUC
rnacentral:rRNA from 1 species